CGGGGGGGCAAGCGUUGUCGGAAUUACUGGGCGUAAAGGGUGCGUAGGCGGCUCUCUAAGUCGGAUGUGAAAACUCUGGGCUCAACCCAGAGCCUGCAUCCGAAACUGGAGGGCUAGGGUUCUGGAGGGGAAAGCGGAAUUCCUGGUGUAGCGGUGAAAUGCGUAGAUAUCAGGAGGAACACCGGUGGCGAAGGCGGCUUUCUGGACAGAUACCGACGCUGAGGCACGAAAGCUAGGGGAGCAAACAGGAUUAGAUACCCUGGUAGUCCUAGCCCUAAACUAUGGAUACUUGCUGUGGGGGGGAUUGAAGCCCCUUGUGGCGAAGCUAACGCAUUAAGUAUCCCGCCUGGGGAGUACGGUCGCAAGGCUG
rnacentral:rRNA from 1 species